rnacentral:rRNA from 1 species
GACGAACGCUGGCGGCGUGCUUAACACAUGCAAGUCGAACGGAAAGGCCCUGCUCUUGUGGGGUGCUCGAGUGGCGAACGGGUGAGUAACACGUGAGUAACCUGCCCUUGACUUUGGGAUAACUUCAGGAAACUGGGGCUCAUACCGGAUAGGAGCUCUUGCUGCACGGUGGGGGUUGGAAAGUUUCGGCGGUUGGGGAUGGACUCGCGGCUUAUCAGCUUGUUGGUGGGGUAGUGGCUUACCAAGGCUUUGACGGGUAGCCGGCCUGAGAGGGUGACCGGCCACAUUGGGACUGCGAUACGGACCAGACGGCUACGGGACGCAGCAGUGGGGAAUAUUGCGCAGUGGGCGGAAGCCUGAUGCAGCAACGCCGCGUGCGGGAUGACGGCCUUCGGGUGGUAAACAGCUUUCGCAGGUGACGAGGCGUGAGUGACGGUAAUGGGUAAGAAAGCACCGGCUAACUACGUG